UGGCUCCCGUUGAAAUACAUGGGAUUUAGAAUAUCGCGUCGCUCGUAACGGUGUCAUGGGUUUGCACCGUAAAAGUUGGAAAAAGUUGAAUCCUAUGCAAAUGAGGAGCGAUUUUUCCCGGCAGUGGCCAAUCAGAUUGUUUGGUCUUUAGUCCAGUCUGUUAUGCUAUUUCCACACGCUACACCGCGCCCACUCAAAGCGAUGGAAGCGUAUCCCGUCGGCGUACUAAUGAAGAAAAAUUGGAAACAAUACAAUUAGGACCUCCUAGACCAAAUGUAUCCAUUCAACAGGUUUUCUACAAAGGGGGAGAAAUCCUACAUCCAAGAAUUGGUAGGAAAGAAAAUCGUGGAUAGCAGGCUGUGAAGUGGCUAACGCGGUAAUAUGCUCUCGCAAGGAAUACAACACGUACCAAAAUUAUGUGGAUUAUGUCAAAAAUGAAUUUAAAACCAAACAACAGAAGGAAAGUAUGAAAAAAAUUCUUGAGCUGGGAGAGCAGGGUGGGAUUUCAGAUUACAUUACUCUGGAAGAUAUCAGAACCUUUUUACAAACGAAUGAGCCUCCAAGACAUGAUGAACUACAGCAGCAGCAUAAUGGACUGGGGUAAGUAAAAGAUAUUUUUACAAAUACUGACUAUUCGUGUAGGCCUAUGUAAAUUAUGAAGUACUGUGACAAUGUCAUUUUAAGAAGUAAAAAAAAUAUUUUGACAUACUGUUCUCAUAUUAAAUAAAACAAACAUGUAUAUUCAAAGACAACCACGAAGAUCCACUAAGAAGAAGAUGAUCAAAGAGAAUGAUACACUCCUGAAGGGAGGAAAACUUCCUAAAAUAAUGGAAAAGAUCAUUAUGGACCGCAGGGUUGCGGCACAGCAGGCAGAAAUUAACAAAUUGACGAAAACCCUAGGGGAUUUGGAGAAGAUGAGGGUAAAGAAUGAGGAUCGAACAAAAUAUCUGGAUCAAAAAUUCUUUAAAUCAACAGGUAAGCUCCAUAAAAUAUAUGGAUUAGGGGCUGUUCACUGUGGAACACUUUUCUUUGUCUCUAAAACAUGAGGUGUGUUGCUAAUAUUUCUAACUGGG
rnacentral:lncRNA from 1 species